GCUGUAGCUGAGUGUUAGAGCAUCUGCUUUGCUUGCAGAAAGUCCUAGGUUCAGUCCCUGGCAUCUCCA